UACAGGAGGGGGCAAGCGUUUAUUCGGAAUUAUUGGGCGUAAAGCGCGUGUAGGCGGCUCGAUAAGUCGGAUGUGAAAGCCCUGGGCUCAACCUAGGAAGUGCAUUCGAAACUGCUGAGCUUGAGUUCUGGAGAGGAAGGCGGAAUUCUCGGUGUAGAGGUGAAAUUCGUAGAUAUCGAGAGGAACACCGGUGGCGAAGGCGGCCUUCUGGACAGCAACUGACGCUGAGACGCGAAAGCGUGGGGAGCAAACAGG
rnacentral:rRNA from 1 species